rnacentral:lncRNA from 1 species
GGGGGAACUGCAAUGUUCAACCCAGCCUGCUGACACAAAAAAGUGAUCAAAGAUGGAUGCCCCAAUGGCAUCUUACUUCUAACUUUCAUAGCACAGCUCCGUAUCUCGUCGGCGAUGAUUUUGCCGACAUUUACCUCCAUCUGUCUCACCAGGCAGAAGAUGAGACGAACCUUGUGCAUCGUGAUAUCCGAAAUGUGGGAGCAAGGUUGGUUGUUGGUAUGCGUGAAUGCCAUCCAGUAUCGGGCCAAAGGUAUCAUAUCCAACCUCCUAAUGUUGACCGG